UACGGAGGGUGCAAGCGUUAUCCGGAUUCACUGGGUUUAAAGGGUGCGUAGGUGGGCAAGUAAGUCAGUGGUGAAAUCUCCGGGCUUAACCCGGAAACUGCCAUUGAUACUAUUUGUCUUGAAUACUGUGGAGGUCAGCGGAGUAUGUCAUGUAGCGGUGAAAUGCUUAGAUAUGACAUAGAACACCAGUUGCGAAGGCAGCUGGCUACACAAAUAUUGACACUGAGGCACGAAAGCGUGGGGAUCAAACAGG
rnacentral:rRNA from 1 species